UACGUAGGGCGCAAGCGUUGUCCGGAAUUAUUGGGCGUAAAGAGCUCGUAGGCGGUUCGUCGCGUCUGCCGUGAAAUCCCGAGGCUCAACCUCGGGACUGCGGUGGGUACGGGCGAACUAGAGUGUGGUAGGGGAGACUGGAAUUCCUGGUGUAGCGGUGAAAUGCGCAGAUAUCAGGAGGAACACCAAUGGCGAAGGCAGGUCUCUGGGCCACAACUGACGCUGAGGAGCGAAAGCGUGGGUAGCAAACAGG
rnacentral:rRNA from 1 species